rnacentral:sRNA from 1 species
AUUUGGUGAGCGCUGGUGGUUUAUUCUUCCGUGGAGUUAAGGGUUCCGUGGACAUCUCAAGUCUUCAGGGUCUUCCAUCUGGAACUAUAUAAAGUUCAGAAAACAUGGUGAGUUAAUACACAUGCCAAUAAACUGUUGCCUGAUAAACCGUAUUGCUUGUACUCAACUUACAGACUUGUGUGGGAAAAUUGAAAUAGAAGGAAAGCAUUGAGAAGAUGCCUUUUAUCUUGUCAGUUUCCUCUCACCUAUUGAACUUUGUAUAUACCAGGAUAGGUUUUGUAAGAUGAUUUGUAGGCUUGCAGGACUUGGCUUACUUUCAGUGGGUAGGAGUCACUCAUGUGUUUUUCCUUUGUAGUCUCGAAGAUAUGACUCCAGGACCACUAUAUUUUCUCCAGAAGGUAAAAUAGAAAUUGUUUAAUCUGCCUCAAGUUUAAAAAUAGAUGUGUUAGACUUUUAGAAAAAAAAAUUACAAACUAUUUUUGGUAGUUGCAGAGUUCAUCUUUUUUGUACUUUGAAGCAAUUAUGGUCACCAGGUUGGUUAUACCAUAGAAGAGUGAAAGUGGAAAUUUGUUUCUAGCUUGCUUCAUUGCUGAUUUCUUUUGGGCCGGUGGUGCAAGAGCACAGAGGAGAGUCUUGGCUUCUCACUGCUUUUGUUUUGUAGGUCGCUUAUACCAAGUUGAAUAUGCCAUGGAAGCUAUUGGACAUGCAGGCACCUGUUUGGGAAUUUUAGCAAAUGAU